GGGGCUGAUCGGUUUCGACGGGGAUUGUCGAUUCAGGAGAAGCGGGCCGAGGAGACGUGGUUAUCUCGUAAACGCUCCACGUGAACAAUAAGUGCGAAAUCUAACCGCACCGGCUUUGCCCUCGCCGCCUGAGGCGAGUGGCCUGCCCGUCAACCCAGAAAUGGCUACGGUCUGGGAUUUGGCGUCGUGAAGUAGCCCACUGCUGACCUACCGUGUUACCCGGUAGGCCGGGACUUUUAGGUAACUGAGCCCGGCGGCGCGUUGCCAACAACAGCGCCGGGGCCGAGAAAACCGCAUGUUGGCUGCGCCCGGAGAAGACCUGUGCUUUGAUUCUCGGACGGGGGUUCAAUUCCCCCCAGCUCCACGU
rnacentral:tmRNA from 1 species